GUACUUGCUUCAGCAGUGCAUAUACUAAAAUUGAAUGUUAUUGAGAUGAUUAACACGGCCCCUGAGCAAGGAUGACAUGCAAAAUUCAUGAAUCACUCAAAAUUUAA